GGGGCGGUGAUGAUUCCAACAUGCCAUCUGAGUGUCGGUGCUGAAAUCCAGAGGCUGUUUCUGAGCUG
rnacentral:snoRNA from 1 species